AAGCUUGAAUCCUUCUUUUAGCAAAUGCACGGUGUCAUGUAUGUGUUGAACAGUUGAACAAUGAUCGGGAGAGUGAACAACAGUUAUUUAAAAUGAAACUACAGCUGAUCCGUUCAACAGCGGGUGAUGUGGAGGUUAAAGCUGUCUGAACAUGUGCAGCCAUACUGCAGUGAUAAUCCGGACAAUUUAAACAUUUCUUUCAAGCAGAAGUGAAACCAUUAAUCCUGUGAGAUUCUUCUGAUAAGUGGUGACUGUGAAGUAAUGGCCAUGUCGCCUAGAGAAAUAAAAAUAUGUGGACAAUUAAAACAAGAUGGACAUUAUCUGGCAAGUCCGUACUCCCCUUUUCUUUAGCAGUAUUGUAAUUGAUCUGUACCUUUGUUACUAAACUGAAUAUUGAGUCCUGGCUUUUUGUUCAUUAUCUGUGGAUUUUAACAUGGUGCAUAUUUGUCAAGUUCGAAAAUCAUGUAAAAAAGGAAACCAGUGAUUAUUUUCUUCACAUAUACAAAUGCUGUUCUGAAGAAAAGUCAAUUCUCAUGACACCUGCUAAAGUUUCUGGCUGUAAUGUGUUGACCUUUCCAGGCACCCUGUUGUUUAGUUAUUUGAAAGUACUUUGACAAGCUGCAGUAUAUGACAGGAGUAUAUUGUAUCUGGAAUUAAGUCCAUUCACAUUUGAUUGUCCUUAAAAACUCUGUCAAACUUUUGCUCUGGGAGUUUGCUUUGCCCUAGAAAAGCAAUGUGACGUGUUUGGGCCGGGGGGUAAUAAUCUCGUUCCCUGACCGUAGUGAACACCCUAAUUUCUGUGGCUUGGCAAAGAGAUUAGUGUGUUGAAUUAUGGUAAUUAGAGAUUGAAUUAUAAAAGUUUGUCAUUUUCACCCUCAAUUGUGUGAGCAAAAAGUGUAUGGAAUCAUAUAUAAACUUUUAAGUUGAUAUUUUUAAUUGCAAAGCACAUUAUAUUAAUUUCCUCCUACAUAUAACAAAAGGUGAAGUGGCAUCACAAUUCUAGUUGAAAUAUGUAGUCCUUCAAAACAUUUGAUAUUAUUUCACUCUGCUAUGUUGACUUUAACAUUAUAUGUGCCUCUGUUACUAACUGUAAUCAGUUGUUGAUAUUGCUGUCCCUGAGUGUUUCAUGUCAUUGACAGUCAGAUAAUUAGGUAUCAUCAAUGCUUCAAUAACAAUAUAAAAAGCCAUUAUAAUGGAUGGUUUUAAUUAAUGCCAUAUUUGAUUAUUAGCUCAUUUAAAUGUUUAUAUUAUGGCACAUAUGCUAAUGUGUGAUAGAAAGAGCAGAAAUUAAUUGUAUUACCCUCGGUGCAUAGCUGUUUUUAAUUGUAUGAUUCCUUAACUGUGUAUGACAGGAAUGGGGUUAUUUUUGUGAUUUAUCCAUCUGAGAUAAUGUUAGCAAGACUUUGAUAUUGUAUUAAGAUUGGGGAGAAGGUCAUAAAUGAAGAUGCCAAACCUAGCACCAGGACAACUUGCCCAUCUGAAAGGACAUGUAUUUUCACAUGGAGGUCUUGGGAAUGAAAGAACAGUGGGAGGUUUCAUUUAGAGAUGGUUAAUACAACAACAUUCAGAUGGGCCAUCCUCUAAUCUCAUAAGAAUAUUUUCUCCAAAGAACCUCAAACUAUCCAAUUUAGAUGAAAUCCACAUGUAGUUCAUAUUGACCAUUCCAUAUUGAACCUGGAACGUUGUAUUC